AUUGAACGCUGGCGGCAGGCCUAACACAUGCAAGUCGAGCGGAUGAAGGGAGCUUGCUCCUGGAUUCAGCGGCGGACGGGUGAGUAAUGCCUAGGAAUCUGCCUGGUAGUGGGGGAUAACGUCCGGAAACGGGCGCUAAUACCGCAUACGUCCUGAGGGAGAAAGUGGGGGAUCUUCGGAUCUCACGCUAUCAGAUGAGCCUAGGUCGGAUUAGCUAGUUGGUGGGGUAAAGGCCUACCAAGGCGACGAUCCGUAACUGGUCUGAGAGGAUGAUCAGUCACACUAGAACUGAGACACGGUCCAGACUCCUACGGGAGGCAGCAGUGGGGAAUAUUGGACAAUGGGCGAAAGCCUGAUCCAGCCAUGCCGCGUGUGUGAAGAAGGUCUUCGGAUUGUAAAGCACUUUAAGUUGGGAGGAAGGGCAGUAAGUUAAUACCUUGCUGUUUUGACGUUACCAACAGGAUAAGCACCGGCUAACUUCGUG
rnacentral:rRNA from 1 species